rnacentral:lncRNA from 1 species
ACAGAUUCAGGCAGCUGGUAAAAACUCAUGAAAUCCUCUGCAGCACAGAAGGUAGCAUUUCCCUGCGGUUUGUGCUCUCUCAAGGUUGUCGUAUUAUACGUGUGCCAUUUUCACUGUGAGAACGUGCAGCGAGAGGGGCAGAAAGCAUGUGUGUGUCAUUACAGUACCUACCACUUACGUGGCUUUCGGUGACAGACCUGGAGUCUAAUGUCAGCGGUCCUGUCUGCGUCUCCAUUGGAUGUGUUCGCCGUGCACUGGGUAUCCCAGGUGGGGACUGCGCCCUUCCCAGUAAAGCCUGUCCCUUCAGCAGUGUGGCCUGGCUCUUUGAAUUCCAAUUUAUUGCCAAGUCUCCAGUUUCGACCUAAAGCAGGUUUAGGUGGAGCUGGUGCUUUACAGAAAACCAUUUUUCUCACUGCUCAAUGAUACUGUCAAAGUGGCUUCUACCAUUUUUCACAUUUUGAGAAUAUAAAUAUUGAAGAAAACCAAAGAAUCACAUGCAAAAAUAUUGCUUGUUAUUUUAACAAGGCUCACGGUGUCUUGAAAAGGGUCUUUGUGGCAUAGGUUGACGUUGCCGUAAACUCCGCCAAAGCUUUGUUGUAGCUCUUUGUUAUAAAAAUAUGUCUGCCAACUUAUAUCUUUAAGAAUUUCAACUUGGAGCAAUUAUAUCCAUCCUUUCAUUCAGUGAUUGAUAAACUUGAGAGACAUUAUCCAAUCGCAUCCCGACUACUGAUGAGACACGCAGUUUCUUUUUCCCAUGCCUCAAAAUAAAAUAUUAAUUCAGUGGGUUCUAAAUUUAAAUCAUCUGUGGGAAGAAGCCUGGAGUAGUAAUGCGCUCACAACUUUUGGUCAGCAUCUCAUUUCAACAUUGCUGGCAUUUCCUCCAAAAGACAGAAGGACACGCUGAAAUUAACCUGCUCUGGAAAUCAUGUGUGUGUUGAUGUGUAUGCAUUCAAUUCCAUUUGACAAAUCUUUGCAGCAAAGAGAAGGUUCUAGUGUGAGGCCAAACCUUAGCGUAUAUCCAAACUACAUCUUUUGAAAGCUCUACUUUUAGAGUAAAUACGUGUUCCUUGAUUUGCCCUCUCCAGGCAGCGGAUUCGAAUUCAGACACCUGAUACUUUGGAGGCCGUAUCACAGGAAAGGCCACGAAAGGUCAGAGACAGGUCCCGUGGCGCUUUGCUGUGGAAUUCUCCUCCCAGUUGUACAAAGAACUCCACACACCAGGUGGUCAGUGUUCCAAGGACCACCAGGGACAGAUUCUCUACCGAGAGCCUACCUCGGUCCUCAUGCCUCUCCCUCCUUGCACAGAAUAGUGACCACACCACCCACCUCCCGCCUGGUUCUGCCCUCCAUAAGCCAUGCCCCCCCAAAACAGAAAUACAUCACCACCGACUUCUUAUAAACUUACAAUUACCCCUCACUCUUUUAAUUUCCUUCUUUUUCUACUUAAACUUUAAUUUCAGGUAUCUUCUGUAUGUCACAGAAGUCACGUUCCAAGUAGAAUUAAAAGAAAAUUAACGUGGGGCAUGGGAUGGACGUUUCUUGCCUUAUUCUCCAUCUUAAUAACUCAAAGUCAACCUGAAUAAUAGGAAUAUUAUUAACCCAGCUCCAUUUUCGACUUUAAGUCACAACUUACAUUUUGGUUCUGAUUGGUGUUAUUUUAAUUGCCGUAAUGAAUAUUCCAUGUUUCAUUAUGAAGGCAGCAUGUACAAAAUGGCUCUGGGGAAGUUCUUUUGGAUCUUU